rnacentral:rRNA from 1 species
AUCAAUAAGCGGAGGAAAAGAAACCAACAGGGUAUUGCCUUAGUAACGGCGAGUGAAGCGGCAAAAGCUCAAAUUUGAAAUCUGGCACCUUCGGUGUCCGAGUUGUAAUUUGAAGAAGGUAACUUUGGAGUUGGCUCUUGUCUAUGUUCCUUGGAACAGGACGUCACAGAGGGUGAGAAUCCCGUGCGAUGAGAUGCCCAAUUCUAUGUAAAGUGCUUUCGAAGAGUCGAGUUGUUUGGGAAUGCAGCUCUAAGUGGGUGGUAAAUUCCAUCUAAAGCUAAAUAUUGGCGAGAGACCGAUAGCGAACAAGUACAGUGAUGGAAAGAUGAAAAGAACUUUGAAAAGAGAGUGAAAAAGUACGUGAAAUUGUUGAAAGGGAAGGGCUUGAGAUCAGACUUGGUAUUUUGCGAUCCUUUCCUUCUUGGUUGGGUUCCUCGCAGCUUACUGGGCCAGCAUCGGUUUGGAUGGUAGGAUAAUGACUAAGGAAUGUGGCUCUACUUCGGUGGAGUGUUAUAGCCUUGGUUGAUACUGCCUGUCUAGACCGAGGACUGCGUCUUUUGACUAGGAUGUUGGCAUAAUGAUCUUAAGCCACCCGUCUUGAAACACG